rnacentral:rRNA from 1 species
UGAGGCCCCAGGUCAGCGGGAUUACC